UGUUCCACUGUAAAUGGAACAGGGCACUAGAGGGACUUGAAGGCAGCAAGAUUGUAGCUGAAGAUAUCAAGGAAGAGACAAUCCAGGACCAUGAUACUAAGCUGUGACAAGUUCUAAGCAUGUUCCAGCAGCUGGGUACCAGACUGAAUGCUGACAAGCUGAAGCGGAAGAGAACUGAAAUCCUCUACAUCCAACAUCAGAUUACUUCUGAGGGACUCCAGGGGGAACCUGAGAAACUGAUCACCACUAAGGAAAUAUCCAGACCAAAGAAUCUAAAGAUAGGGACAGCCAACUAUCUUUUCUAGAUUCUUUGCACACCUGUCAGAAGCCGGUGAGCCCUUGAGAUAGUCAGUGCACAAUAGUGCAGCGUGGGAACGGUCAGAGACCCAAGAACUAUCUGAAAGAGUAAAGAAAAUCAUAAGCAAGGCACCACUCCUAAAGUAUUACCAACCCUGUGGAGUUACAGCUACGAGUUACAGCAGGAUGCCUCAGAGGAGGCCUAGGAGCAGCACUGUUGUAAAGCCAGCCGUCCAUAGCAUUUGCUAGUAGAGCCCCGACAGAUCACAAAGAGAAUAUGGUCAGAUACAAAAGGAGCAACUGGUUGUGGUCUUUGGAAUGGACUGAUUUCAUCAGAUCUCCUUUGGGCACAAGGUGAACGUGCAGGCUGAUCACAAGCAUUAGAACGCGUUAAGAAGCCGCCACUGCUGAGUGCACCCAAGUGAAUAUAAUAGAUAUUACUGAGACUGCAGUGCUAUGAUGCGAGGAUAAGGUACCGCCUAGGAAAGUCACUACUGGCGGCAGAUCCACUGAGCAGGCUCUGUGCAACAGGAGAAUUAGCAUGUUGAUAGACUACCAUCUUUGUAUCUCUGACAGGAGACUCCAAGCAAUCCAACAGAGCAUUGAACAGGAUGGGGUGCUGUAGGCAGUCAAAUGAUUCAUACUCCAAGGCUGGCCAGAUUGCAUGGAGCAACUGCCAUGAGAGGGUUGCCCCCUACUAGCCAGUGAGGGAUGAGCUGUGUGCGCGCGCAAGAGGAAGCAGAGUAGUAAUCCCAGCAGAUUUCAGGUGACAUCAUGGAAAGGAUACACAUUUCCCCUCAGGGAUAGUGGCAUACCUGAGCCUGAAUGCCCAACUGGCAGCAUAUGUGGACCAGUGCAAGGAGUACAGUGACAGACACUACCGCCACAUGAAAUCCUGGCAGGAGGUCAGAACAGACUUGUCCACUUUUAAUGACAGGAACUACAUUACUACUCCAAUUUGUGAGAGGUGGGUUAAUUGGAGGACACUCAAGCAAGAGCUGAUCAGGGAACUGUGGGUGCAUUUUAUACAGAAUGGCAUACCUGAAAUGCUGAGCUCAUAUAAUGGCCACAGAAUUCAGACCACUGCAGCAGAAUUCAAAUGAUUCAACACCAGAGGGGGAUUUGAGAACAAGACAUCUCCCCCUGGGUAUCCACAAAGCAACAGGAAGGCAGAGUUUGCAGUAAAGACAGCCAAGAGACUGAUGGAAAAAGACAAAAACACAGACAGGAAGUGAUCCCUACCUGGCAGUGUUAGACAUCACAAUACAACCUCCAAGGACUAGAUAGUAGACCAGCAGAGACUGAUGGACCCGAGAACACAGACUUUGCUUGUCAUGUGGGGCAGUCUGCAGCAGCUCAGUGAAGGAGCAGCAGACAGUACACAGAAGCAGUCAAGAGAAUGCCAGACUAAGCAGGCAGUCCGCUACAAUAAAAGGAACCAAUGUCCUGAUGCCACUGCACACAGUUGAGCAGGUCUGGGGAUAACCAUUAAAUAACCACACAAAGCAAUGGCAAAAAGGCAACAGUACAAACUGCAGUGGGACACGAGUCAUUAGAGGUAGCUACAGUCUCAGGACAGCAGUGCAGAUGAAACUAAAGACAACUGUAGAGUAGUGGCAGACAGCUGGCACACUCAAACAGAAUGGGCCCAGGCCAAGACCAGCAGGACUUAGAAAGACCUUCAGACAUCAGCUGGACUGACAUAGGAGAGUUGGAAGAAUUAGGCAUAUGAGAGGACCAAGAGGACACCACCAAACAGAAUUAAGGCAGCAACAAGGUGGACACAAGUCCCCCACCCAUAGCAAUAACACAAGAAGUGGGAGACUAGUUUCAAGACCAGCAUACUUGAAGCACUGUGAGGCCUAAGGGGCUGGCGGUAAAGGCCAUGUUCCUAAGGUGGGCUAUGUACUUAUAACUUCUGUCCCCAGCAAGUCAACAAACUCUUGCACAAAAAAAAAUUGUUAAAAAGGAAAGAUGUAGCAAUCUGCAUGGAACUUGGAGGGAGGAGCGCUGGUUGCUGGAAGGAAGAGUUUGGAGGAGGCAAUAGGAACUGAGUCUGUGAGCACAUGGCUAGAAUAUGUUAGCUAUAAUUGCAGCAUCUCUGUCAAUAAAGACCUCUUAUUUUUUA